AUUGAACGCUGGCGGCAGGCCUAACACAUGCAAGUCGAGCGAAGCGGCGGACGGGUGAGUAAUGCCUAGGAGGCUGACUGGUAGUGGGGACUAACAUCCGGAAACGGGCGCUAAUAUCGCAUACUAUCAGAUGUGACUAGGUCGGAGUAGCUGGUUGGUGGGGUAAAGGCGUACCAAGUCGACGAUCCGUAACUGGUCUGAGUGGAUGAUCAGUCACACUGGAACUGAGACACGGUCCAGACUCCUACGGGAGGCAGCAGUGGGGAAUAUUGGACAAUGGGCGAAAGCCUGAUCCAGCCAUGCCGCGUGUGUGAAGAAGGUCUUCGGAUUGUAAAGCAAUUUAAGUUGGGAGGCGUUACCAACAGAAUAAGCACCGGCUAACUUCGUGCCAGCAGCCGCGGUAAUUC
rnacentral:rRNA from 1 species